rnacentral:rRNA from 1 species
UACGUAGGGUGCGAGCGUUAAUCGGAAUUACUGGGCGUAAAGCGUGCGCAGGCGGCUUCGCAAGUCAGACGUGAAAUCCCCGGGCUUAACCUGGGAAUGGCGUUUGAAACUACGGAGCUGGGGUGUGGCAGAGGGAGGUAGAAUUCCACGUGUAGCGGUGAAAUGCGUAGAUAUGUGGAGGAAUACCGAUGGCGAAGGCAGCCUCCUGGGCCAACACUGACGCUCAUGCACGAAAGCGUGGGGAGCAAACAGG